rnacentral:lncRNA from 1 species
CUUUUUUCCAAGGUACUGUGAACUAAUAGAAUAUGGAAAAAGAUACAAGAGAAAAGAUGAUGGUGGUAAUGGUUAGAAGCCUUGAUUAAUAUUUCAAAAUAUGACUCUGGUAUACAACUGAAUUAUCUUCAGAAUUUAGUAUUAGAGAAGAGAAAGGAAUGGCAAAGAAAUGAAGUCAUUCAUACAAAUGAGAAGUAUCUUUGAUCUUGGACA